UUUUAUACUACAUUAAGUGUUAUUACAGUAGAGAUUUUACCUUUCUACAAUCCUCCUUACAUUCCAAAAUGGUUUUUAUUUGGUAAAUUACUUGUCUAAUUAUCAGUAGAGAUCUUACUUUCUCCUAAUUGGUCACCGGAGAGAGAACAGAUGUCUGACGCAUCAGACUCACCUUCGACACCAACACAUAUGACUAGUCACAACUGACUGGACCAGGCCANGGCUGCUCUAUGAUCAGGGAUGUGCGGCUCUGGUUUUUAGGUUCUCUCUAUCCUACCAAGAGAGAAGGUUCCUAACAAGUCCCAAGUAUUUUUAUUUGAUUUAAUCAACUAUCCUAUUAUUUUUAGUUCCCUGAUUCCCAAAGUUAUACAUCCCCUCUCACAGAACCUGAGGCUACACUUAACCCAUUUUUCCCAUCAAAUCAGUAUCACCCCCAAUUUAUUCCAGCAACCAGAUUCAUCAAAUUCCUUCAGAGCACAUCACAAUCAAUAUAUAAACAGGAAUCAUUCCCAGGAUCAUCAUUUCAGUCAAAUUCAGCGCAUACUAAGUUAAACACUUAAGGACAGUAACAACACAUGCUCCCAAUAUAUCACAUAUUUAAUUCAAUAUGCAUAAUCACUCAAAACAGAUUCAUCAGUUCUUACCAAACGGGAUGUGUAGAACCAAAAUACAGUUUAAAUUCACAUAGCAAUUCAGAUUUCUCAAACAGUCACUUCACAACAAAUAAAAUAAAAGUAUAAGUAGCUCCCCUUACCUGGGUUUCUCAAAAUAAGCUAAUUGAAGAUGCCCUAAUAGCACCCUCCACACAGAACAAAGCUUGACAGAACCGGGAAGGAUGGGGAAAAUGAUCGGUUCAAAAUGGAGCCCUUGGUGAGGUGAACGCUAGAGCACCUUUAAAUCAAAAUUUAAUGGGUUCAAUGAGCUGAAAUUUUAGACAGAAGGCAGAGCUAAGUUUAGGGAAACUAGAAGACCUAAGUUUUAGAGAGAGAAUGGAAAAGCAACAAAUGAAGAAUCUGACUUUUGAAAAAGAAUCCCUUCUAAGGUCAUGUGCCCUUAAUCUUUAUGGGUUGGACUGCCUAAACAUAAAGCCCAUCAACCCUUGGCUUAUUUUCAAGUCCUUAUACAUAUCAGUAGAAAAACCCUGUUUUAUCCCCAUCUACAGCACCCUUAGAGUGGAAAUUGACAUUAUUGAAAAUUGAAAGCAUAUGAUCACAUUCUUAAUUCAUGGAGAAUGAUAUUUUCGAGUCCACUAAAAUCACAUAACUAGUUUAAGUUCAUUAUCUAACCUUUCUUUUAUACUUACAAAAGCAGAUAUCUUCAUUCUUUUUCCAACAUCUUCAAGAAAAUACCAAUCAAAAGAAUUAACAAACAAAUAGAGCAUAGUUCAUUAAUUGUCAAAUAUUUACUGUUAUUUGAAUUUUGUAAUUUCAUGAUCACGACCAUGGUCAUAUAUUUUUGGAAUUUAGAAAAUCAAUCAUGAUAUGUAUGAAAAGAUUAAAAUAAAUAAUACCUAUUUUCAGUCAGAG
rnacentral:lncRNA from 1 species